rnacentral:rRNA from 1 species
GACGAACGCUGGCGGCGUGCCUGACACAUGCAAGUCGGACGGUUCUUGCACCUUCAAGCUUGCUUGCUGGUGCAGGGAUAGUGGCGGACGGGUGAGUAACGCGUGAACAUCUACCCAUUGGAGGGGGCAACCCGUCGAAAGGCGGGCGUAAUACCGCGUAAGCCGUGAGGUGAGAGGCUGCCUAUUGGUGGCCGCCGAUGGAUGGGUUCGCGUCCUAUCAGCUGGUUGGUGGGGUAACGGCCUACCAAGGCGAAGACGGGUAGCCGGUCUGAGAGGAUGGCCGGCCACACUGGAACUGAGACACGGUCCAGACUCCUACGGGAGGCAGCAGUGGGGAAUAUUGGGCAAUGGGGGUAACCCUGACCCAGCGACGCCGCGUGAGGGACGAAGGUUUUCGGAUCGUAAACCUCUGUUGUACGGAAGAAGGAUGUGACGGUACCGUACGAGAAAGCCCCGGCAAACUACGUG